CGUAUUCAACUCUCCCAUUCGACCAAGAAGAUCAACCGUUAUCGCAUAAUGCUUUGAGUUUGGUACCAAUUGAUACUCGCUAAUCAUGAUAUCAAACAUUUGUAUCCCUUCUUUAAUUAAACCUGAAUGACUUCAAGAAGAUAGAAUUGAGAUAAAAGUUACGUUGUUAGGCUUAGUAUCACAAUCAUUAGCCAUCUGAUAAAAUAAUUUCAAAGCCUGUUUGGUCAUGAUUUUGGUUGAUGCUGCUGUGAUUUCACUAUGGCUUUGUUGCAGGGUUCUUGUGUAUCAACCGAAAGCUGAACAAAUUGAUUUGAGAUCUGGAAGUUUGUCGGAAGAAAAUGAAUCAGCUGUUGUGUUGGAUUGUUUUGGCUGAUGUUACAUAUUUCUGGACUGUUGAAGAUUGGUUCAAGGAGUGACGGGUGAGUCUUGUGCAUGAUGAUGGUGGAGGGAGACGGUGAGGGAAAAGGUUGAAGAGUUUUUUUUUGUUGUGGAAUUUUUCCUCCAUAUUUCCUUUUAAUUCCAACCAAUUAUUGUAAUAUGUAUUAGUCACUAGGAUAUAAUAAGUUGUAAUAGUAUUUAGCUUAUGUAAAAUGAUUCACACAAUGCCAAAUUUCAUGUAAUGCAAUGCAUAUGGACAUGUUUAUGGGAUCA